ACGGGGCGCAGCAGGCGCGAAACCUCUGCAAUGCGGGAAACCGUGACAGGGGGAUCCCAAGUGCUCAUGCAUUGCAUGGGCUGUUCUUUGGUCUAAGUAACCAGAGGAGUAAGGGCUGGGCAAGACCGGUGCCAGCCGCCGCGGUAAUACCGGCAGCUCAAGUGGUAGCCGCGAUUAUUGGGCCUAAAACGUUCGUAGCCGGAUAAGUAAGUCUUUGGUUAAAUCCUGCGACUUAACCGUGGGAAAUCUAGAGAUACUGCUUGUCUUGAGACCGGGAGAGGUUGGAGGUACUCCUAGGGUAGGGGUGAAAUCCUGUAAUCCUAGGGGGACCACCUGUGGCGAAGGCGUCCAACUGGAACGGGUCUGACGGUGAGGGACGAAACCUAGGGGAGCGAGCCGGAUUAGAUACCCGGGUAGUCCUAGGCGUAAAUGAUGCGAGUUAAGUGUGGGGGCAUCUACGAGAUGGCCCUGUGCUGUAGGGUAGCCGUUAAACUCGCUGCCUGGGGAGUACGGUCGCAAGGCUGAAACUUAAAGGAAUUGGCGGGGGAGCACCACAAGAGGUGGAGGCUGCGGUUCAAUUGGAUUCAACGCCGGAA
rnacentral:rRNA from 1 species